CUGCUCGGUGCCCUGCUGGCCGCCGCCGCCGCCGCCGCCGCUGCCCGGGCCUUUGCUCGACUCGCCGAUGCCCAGGCGGCCGCGCGGCAGGAAUCUGCACUGAAGGCCCUGGGGACAGAUGGCCUCUUUCUCUUUUCCUCGUUGGACACUGACCAGGAUAUGUACAUCAGCCCAGAGGAAUUCAAACCCAUUGCUGAAAAGCUGACAGGGUCAACUCCUGUGGCCAGCUAUGAGGAGGAGGAGCUGCCCCCUGACCCCAGUGAGGAGACACUCACCAUAGAAGCCCGAUUCCAGCCUCUGCUCACUGAAACCAUGACCAAGAGCAAAGAUGGCUUCCUAG